rnacentral:rRNA from 1 species
UUCCGGUUGAUCCUGCCGGACCCGACUGCUAUUUGGGUGAGGAUAAGCCAUGCGAGUUGAAUGGGAAACCUAAAGUUCCCAUGGCAAACUGCUCAGUAACACAUGAUCAACUUACCCUAUAGAGAAAAAUAACCUCGGGAAACUGAGGAUAAUGUUUCAUAGUUGAAUUGGCUUGGAAAAGUUUUUCGACGAAAGGGGUAAAAAAAAUGGUUUUUAUCUGCUAUAGGAUAGGAUCGUGUUCGAUUAUGGUUGUUGGUGAGGUAAUGGCUCACCAAGCCGAUAAUCGAUAGGGGCCGUGAGAGCGGGAGCCCCGAGAUGGGUACUGAGACAACGACCCAGGCCUUACGAGGCGCAGCAGGCGCGAAGCCUCCGCAAUACACGAAAGUGUGACGGGGUUACCCAAAGUGUUCAAUUUUGAACUGUGGUAGGUGAGUAAUGUUCCCUACUAGAAAGGAGAGGGCAAGGCUGGUGCCAGCCGCCGCGGUAAAACCAGCUCUUCAAGUGGUCGGGAUAAUUAUUGGGCUUAAAGUGUCCGUAGCCGGUUUAGUAAGUUCCUGGUAAAAUCGGGUAGCUUAACUAUCUAUAUGCUAGGAAUACUACUAUACUAGAGGGCGGGAGAGGUCUGAGGUACUGCAGGGGUAGGGGUGAAAUCUUAUAAUCCUUGUUGGACCACCAGUGGCGAAGGCGUCAGACUGGAACGCGCCUGACGGUGAGGGACGAAAGCCAGGGGAGCGAACCGGAUUAGAUACCCGGGUAGUCCUGGCCGUAAACGAUGCAUACUAGGUGAUGGCACGGCCAUGAGCCGUGUCAGUGCCGUAGGGAAACCGUUAAGUGUGCCGCCUGGGAAGUACGGUCGCAAGGCUAAAACUUAAAGGAAUUGGCGGGGGAGCACCACAAAGGGUGAAGCCUGCGGUUCAAUUGGAUUCAACGCCGGGAAUCACUAGUGCGGC